CUCCCUCACGCAUCUCUCUUUCCCUCAUCUCUUCUCUCCCUUUUCUCUACACUUUCCGACCGGUGAGGGGUCAACCACCACUGACCGGUGACCAAGCGGCUUCAGGCGACUCCGGCGAGCCACCAGCCGGCCGGUAGCACCGCCAGACGCACAGCAAGAGAGGGAGAAGAGAGAGAAAAUGCGCACAGUGGGCAAUGGCUUCCCGUCGCUAUUUCAGCUUCAUCCGACAUCCGAUCGAGGCGAUUCAGGUGGCGUUGGAAAGCUUGUUCCGAGAGCUUUCUUUUGAUACCAAUUUUGCAGCAAAUGAAGGUUGAAUGAGUGAUAUAUGGAGGAGAGAAGUUUGGGGUUUUUCAAACUUUUGGGUCAGAUCUAGGACGAUUCGACCGUUGGAUUGACUAUCUGAGACCACCUAUGGACUGAGGGAGAGAAGAAGAAUAUGAUGGUAUGAUCAGAUCCGGCAAAUGUUGCUGGCGACCGACGGCCUGCCACCGCGCUCGGUGGUUCCGGCGGUGGCUCCGGUGAGCUUUGGAGAUGAUUCAACUUCCAGAGGCUUCCUCAUAAAUUUUUGAAAUUUUUGAGACACAGAUAAGCUUCAUGUGAUCGAUGUCAGCUAUUCUCCUCCAUCCAGCAGCCACAAUAGUCAUCGAUGUACUGUGAGUAAAAUAUUAAUUUUAAUUGUAAUUUCGAUAUUAUUAUAUGUUCAAGCAUGCCCAUGCAUAACUUAUAUGUAUAUAUCUAUGUAGUUAAACUCUAGGCACGUUUUAUGUUGCAUUCACAUCUGUUAAAGUGCCAUGGAUGUUGUUUGUGGUAAUUUGGAGCAGUGUGCGUGCGUUGGCGUGCGUGUGGUAUGGUAUUGGAUGUGGACAGGAUGGGUAGACACGGCUUGAGAUCUUCACUGGGACCCAGUCCUUCGGGGUAGACACGGCUUGAGUUCUUCGCUGGGACCCCGUAUUUGGUUUAUUAAGCGAAAGUCCGGCUUGAGAUCUUCGCUGGCAGAGGUUGGAUUAAGAGGGCUGUAUAGGGGAUCAGCUACCAUAUAUGUAUUGUCUGACACUCUCAGGUGUGUGAGUGCUCCAAAUUGCCUUUUUGAUGUGAUUUAUAUGAAAUUUAUGACGAUGUUGCAUUUCACUCCACAGGGUGCAUUAGUUUUAGAUAGCUAUAGAGAUUAUGGUUAGAAUUGGUAUUUUACUCUAUGAGUCGAACGCUCACUUUUGUUCACAAUAUUUUUCCAGGCUACAGGAGAAGACCUUUUUCAGAAUAAACUGUUCCUUUCCUCGCAGGUUAUGAAAAUAAAAAUUUCUUAACUGUAUCAUUAUUAUCUAAAUUCGUAAUUUAGAACUCCGCAUGUACUAGUAGUAGCAUUAAUCCUGUCGGGGAUUGCAUGAAUUUAAGUUUUUGUAUUAACAAAUGAAAAAUUUUUAUGAGUUUUAAAUAGUUUGUAAAUGAUGUAACAGGGUUGAGCUGGGCUCCUCUAAUUUUAGUUUCUGAUAAUUACUGGGUUAAGUUGGCCUGAAAUAAAAUUAUAACAGUUUCAUUUAAA